AGCCCAUCACUGAUGGGAGAUGGCAGCUCCGAGUCAUUGCACUGGGAUCUAGGAGUUUACGGCAGUGUGAGUGACAUCAGAAACAGGCCCCUGUGAGGCAAUGGUUGUGAUGGAAACCAGGUCUGUGGGGUCACUCACAACUCUGACAAGAGAGACUCUCUCUUUCUGGAUUCCUUCUGCCUUCAGCGGUUACUCCAGCUCUUCCGUCUCUAGAAUGUGACUACACUUGAGCCAGACCUGAUUGUAGGGAGAAAGACCAGGCAGGGGGAAGCCAGCUCCCUAUGUGCACCUUCCUGAUCAUCAUGCCAUGCCAUGGCUCUUAUAAAAGACUGGGGCCCCUCCCACACCCCCUGCCCAGUGUAUAUUAAACUAUCCUACUACUUCUCUCCUUCUCUUUCUACACUUCAUCACUCCUUGCCUUCAGGACAUCCAGUCUAGCCAGCUUGGGGUCCCUGCUCUUCUGACUAGCCAGUGUGGAGCACUGUUCAAUAGGAGAAUUGUAACCACCCUCGAACUUGCAUUACGGGGACAGGGUAGGAGAAACAGAUCCGGUGUUUCAUGCAGAAAACCAGAUUUCUAGCACUGGAGAAUAUGUGGAAGACUCCAACUGGGCAAGGAAGAGAGCUGCAGAUCCUAAACCCAGACUCCUGAGCCAUCUGUAUCCAGAUCCCAAUUGCGAUCACCAUGGUGCACAGAGCCUCUGAGACAAACGAAGCAGCACUCGGGGAGACUAGAGCAUCAGGGACGGAAAAUUCAUUCCCGAUCCAAUGAGUCUUAUUUCAUUGGCCAGCUCUUUAUUAUCAAGAUUUGGCUUUCACUAUCCGCCAGCAAAUUAAACGACAAUCCAGAACUGGAGAGAGGAUAAAACUGUGCAAACUGAACAGUCUGAACCUGUCUACGUUCAGCUUGCAACCAUUGGAUCUCCUCAUGCCAUUUUCUGCUAGAUCAAAGAGCUACCUCCAAUCAGAAAUCUCUUCCCCUGUGGAUACUUGUGGACCAUGAUGAAGUCACCUCUUAACCUGCUCUUGGAUAAACUAAACAGACUGAGAUGAGUCUUUUCGAUCAGCCAGGCCGCUUAUUGCAAUUUCAACUCAUCCUCUGACAAUUAUUCACAUAAACCUGGCCCCCACUGUGAUGACAUGGGAAAAUUUGGGAUGCACACUGUAUCAUCGAACACUCAGGUGCAAUGAAAAAAUACAGACAGUGGGACCUUCCUAUACUAAUGCUACUGGGUCAAAUUCUCUGCCGUGCUUCCUGGAGACGCAGCCCAAGGAGAGAGGGUGAGCCCCUCCUGGGUUGAAUCAGGUGAUCCCAGGAUAAAAAGAGCACUAAAGGGGGAAGUCUAGGAAACUGGAGCAAAGUUUGUAGCUGUAGUAGGGAGCAAGAAGACUCCUUCAGGGCCCUAAGUCAGCAGAGAGAGAAGCUGAAGCUGCAGGAGCUAGUGGGAGAAAGCUCUCCAGGCAAGGAGACCUGGGAGAAAUCCUUCCAACCAGGGAGAAGCUGGAAGGGCUGCUGGGAUGAAGACUGAAUGAGCUUGUGUUGUUUUGGGUUAACCAGGAGAGAGACACUCAACUGUUCGUGGCUUAGAGGGCUAGCAGGUAUCAGAGGACUAAAUAAACAGGAC